AUUGGAAUGAACAGUGUUAUAAGAACCAAUGGUGCUGAACUAAUUUGGGUUUAUUAUAAAAUAUUGUUUAUCAUUUAGUUCUGGCCAUUAACCUUACCUAUUAAUUGUUAUACAUUGUGUCCUACUUUUUAUUUUACUCUGACUGUCUAACACCAGAUGAUUUUAUAUGUUGGGAUAGAUCACUGGUGUUCAAUGGAUUUGAAUAAUAAUCUCAUAAUACACACUAGUUUGUUAACCUACUCUGUCUAAACAUGCUAACACCAUUGGCAAUGGAAUUGAGCAGUGAUGUAGCCAGGAUUUCUAAUCAAGGCCUUCAAGCGGGACUGAAAUCUCCAGGAGGGGCCUGCACUAGUUUGAAUAAAGUUUGUUAUUAUGUAAAAAUGUAUUUGGACCCCC